AUUGAACGCUGGCGGCAGGCCUAACACAUGCAAGUCGAGCGAGCGGCGCACGGGUGAGUAAUGUAUGGGGAUCUGCCCGAUAGAGGGGGAUAACUACUGGAAACGGUAGCUAAUACCGCAUACUCUUUGAGCGGCCGAUAUCGGAGUAGCUAGUUGGUGGGGUAAAGGCUCAACAAGGCAACGAUCCGUAGCUGGUUUGAGAGGACGACCAGCCACACUGGGACUGAGACACGGCCCAGACUCCUACGGGAGGCAGCAGUGGGGAAUUUUGGGCAAUGGGGGGAACCCUGAUCCAGCCAUCCCGCGUGUAUGAGAAGGCCUUCGGGUUGUAAAGUACUUUUGGUAGAGAAGCGGUAUCUGCAGAAGAAGCACCGGCUAACUACGUGCCAGCAGCCGCGGUAAUAC
rnacentral:rRNA from 1 species